CCUACGGGAGGCAGCAGUGGGGAAUUUUGGACAAUGGGCGCAAGCCUGAUCCAGCCAUGCCGCGUGUGGGAAGAAGGCCUUCGGGUUGUAAACCACUUUUGUCAGGGAAGAAACGGCUUUUUCUAAUACAGAGAGCUAAUGACGGUACCUGAAGAAUAAGCACCGGCUAACUACGUGCCAGCAGCCGCGGUAAUACGUAGGGUGCAAGCGUUAAUCGGAAUUACUGGGCGUAAAGCGUGCGCAGGCGGCUUUGCAAGACAGAUGUGAAAUCCCCGGGCUCAACCUGGGAACUGCAUUUGUGACUGCAUGGCUAGAGUACGGUAGAGGGGGAUGGAAUUCCGCGUGUAGCAGUGAAAUGCGUAGAUAUGCGGAGGAACACCGAUGGCGAAGGCAAUCCCCUGGACCUGUACUGACGCUCAUGCACGAAAGCGUGGGGAGCAAACAGGAUUAGAUACCCUGGUAGUCCACGCCCUAAACGAUGUCAACUGGUUGUUGGACGGCUUGCUGUUCAGUAACGAAGCUAACGCGUGAAGUUGACCGCCUGGGGAGUCGGCCGCAGGUUGAAACUCAAAGGAAUUGACGGCUGGAGAGNGCGACGGACGACGACGAGGGAGGAGG
rnacentral:rRNA from 1 species